GGGGUCGUGGCGGAAUCGGUAGACGCAUUGGACUUAAAAUCCAAUGAGUGUAAGCUCGUGGGGGUUCAAGUCCCCCCGACCCCACCA
rnacentral:tRNA from 1 species